rnacentral:rRNA from 1 species
AAACUCUCAACAACGGAUCUCUUGGUUCUCGCAUCGAUGAAGAACGCAGCGAAUUGCGAUACGUGAUACGACUUGCAGACGUGAAUCAUUAAUUUUUGAACGCACAUUGCGCUAUAAGGCAUUCCUUACAGCAUGGGGGAUUGAGAGAGGAGACCUUC